CUGGGGAAGGUCAUGUCUCUCCUUUAAAGUAGUUGGACUAGGUUGUGAAGAGCUCCUUGCUUUGUGAUAUUUUCACAUGUUAAAGAUCUACCUUUAUUUGGGUCUUCCUUUGGGAAGGAAUCCAACUGCUUGUGGAUUCUGGGAUCCAGUGAUUAAGAGAAUCUCUAGGAGAUUAGACGGGUGGCAAAAAGCUUACUUAUCUUUCGGCGGUAGGAUAACUCUCCUACACUCAUGUCUAUCCCAUAUCCCUAGCUACUUUCUUUCUCUGUUUAAGAUUCCUGCUUCAGUGGCUGCAAAAGUUGAGAGGAUGCAAAGGAACUUUCUUUGGUCAGGGGUUGGGGAAGGCAAAAGAGACCAUCUUGUUAGUUGGGAUGCUGUGUGUAAGUCGAGGGUAAAAGGGGGUUUGGGGAUUGGGAAGAUUCCUUUAAGGAAUCGUGCUCUUUUAGGGAAAUGGUUGUGGAGGUAUCCUAGGGAGAGCACAACUCUAUGACAUCAAGUCAUUCUUAGCAUAUACAGGACACACUCAAAUGGUUGGGAUGCCAACACUUUAGUCAGGUGGUCACAUCGUUGUCCUUGGAAGGCCAUUGCACAAGUCUUUCAGGAUUUUUCCAAGUAUACUCGGUUGGUCGUAGGAAAUGGGGAAAGAAUUCGCUUUUGGGAAGAUUUGUGGUGGGGGGACCAAAUCUUCAAAGACCAAUAUCCAAGACUAUUUAGAGUAGUAAUGGAUAAAAGUGUUCCCAUAUAUUCAAUUCUUGGUUUGGCUCGCCCUUUCUCAUGGAACUUUAAUUUCUGUCGUGAUCUAACCGAUUAUGAGAUAGAAGAUCUAGAACACCUCAUGCGCUCUAUUGAUUGUAUGAAUUUAUCCACCUCUGCUUCAGAUGCGAGAUCUUGGUCCUUAUUGUCUUCAGGACUGUUUACAGUCAAGUCCUUCUUUACAGCCUUGUCCCAAACGCCUGAUUCAUCUCCUUUUUUCCCUUCUAAGUUUGUAUGGAAAUCUCAAGUUUCCUUCAAAGUUAAGACCUUUGUUUGGCUUGUGGCACACAAGAAGGUAAAUACCAAUGACUUGCUACAAUUGAGGAGACCCCACAAAGCUCUUAGCCCUGACAUUUGUAAGUUGUGUAUGGGGCAAGGAGAAUCAGUAGAUCAUCUAUUCCUUCAUUGUUCUGUGACGUUGGGGUUGUGGCACAGACUAUUUCAGCUAGCCAAGAUGGAUUGGGUCCCUCCGAGAAACAUUUCAGACAUGAUGUUCAUCAAUUAUAAAGGUUUUGACAAGUCCAAGAGAGGGUUGGUUUUGUGGCAAAAUGCAUGCAUAACUUUAAUUUGGGUUGUGUAGUGGGAAAGAAAUGCUAGGAUAUUUGAGGACAAAGCUAGGAAUUCAGAGAAUCUUUGGGACUCCAUUCAUUUCAUCACUUCGUUUUGGGCUUUUUGCUCAGCAGGUUUUAAGGGCAUUCCCCUUAACGUUUUACAACUAGAUUGGCUAGCAGUGUGUAGUUCCAAUGAGACGGUGUAGUGUCAUGUUAUUUUCUUGUGUUGUUUAGUUUUAAUUCUGGCGGGAGGACUUCUCAUCCUCCUUAUGUACUAUUUUAUCUUAUCAAUAUAUUCAUGCGUGGUUUCCUAUCAAAAAAAAUAAAAAAAAAGAUCUACCUCACUGUUAUGUAUUUCCUCAGCAUUUAGACUGGCUUUAGCACUUCUCCCUCAAGUUGUAGUGUAUAUAAUUAAUAUAGUUAUCACUUUUGUCAUGUAAAAGUAGACCAUGC
rnacentral:lncRNA from 1 species